CUUAGAUUAUCUCAUUAAGUAGACACGAAAAAGACAAUAUUCUAUUUCCUAAAAUCUUGCAAACUAGAAGAUCUUCUUUGCUUCACGUCCAAGCAAUAUCUUCUAUUUCCAUAAGUUUGUGACACGUCAUCACUCGUAACAAACUCGCCAUACUGUGUUACACGAUCACCGCACUGUGUAACACACUCUUAGCUCAGCUCGAAAACGCUCACAAUCUUGAGCUUACUCAGUUUGUUUCUCUCAAGCGAGAUGUUGCCUUUAUCGGUCUUGAGGUAUCGAUUCUGUCAUCUCAAGCGAGACGUUGGCAUCAUUGGUCUCAAGCGAGAUGUUGGUUUUAUCAGUCUUGAGCAAGACAUUAGUUUCAUUUUGAGCGAUACUUUCCUUUCAUCGCGAUCUCGUCAGAUCAAAUAUCAUAGAAGGUUUUGUCUUUAUUCCUUGUCACAAUCAAAGUAUGAUUUCGUCGUAGGGAAAUAAAGGCGUUUACGGUUCUAGGCUUCUAGCUCUCGAACUCCGGCGGCGAGCUCUCGUUCUGUCCUUUUGAUCGGCGGUGGUCAGAAUAUUUAUUGUUCCUUCGUCGGUUUUUGUUUCGAACGAGAAAUCAGGUUCGAUGGUUUUCGCGAGAAGUAUGGUCCGUCUUUUUGUGAAAUGUCGUUUAUGAACAAACCAGCUUAAAAACUCUGAUUGGCUGAGUGCGAUCUUGUGUCAGAUUUUGUGUGAAGAACUCGCGUUCUUCACCAAACACGGAGUCGUAUCAAGGCGAUAGAUGAAACAUGAAGAGCUACCUCUUCUCCGGCUCGCGUCCAUCUUUGUCAGGAGUUGACGACUUUUGUUUCUCUUUAGCUCGUAAAACAACUAUGGCAACGUCGUGUUGAUUACGUAAGAAGAACUUGAAAUGUAUUUCG
rnacentral:lncRNA from 1 species